rnacentral:rRNA from 1 species
GGUGAACGCUGGCGGUAGGCCUAACACAUGCAAGUCGAACGGCAGCACAGUAAGAGCUUGCUCUUACGGGUGGCGAGUGGCGGACGGGUGAGGAAUACAUCGGAAUCUACUUUUUCGUGGGGGAUAACGUAGGGAAACUUACGCUAAUACCGCAUACGACCUACGGGUGAAAGCAGGGGAUCUUCGGACCUUGCGCGAUUGAAUGAGCCGAUGUCGGAUUAGCUAGUUGGCGGGGUAAAGGCCCACCAAGGCGACGAUCCGUAGCUGGUCUGAGAGGAUGAUCAGCCAAACUGGAACUGAGACACGGUCCAGACUCCUACGGGAGGCAGCAGUGGGGAAUAUUGGGCAAUGGGCGCAAGCCUGAUCCAGCCAUACCGCGAGGGUGAAGAAGGCCUUCGGGUUGUAAAGCCCUUUUGUUGGGAAAGAAAAGCAGCAGGUUAAUACCCCGCUGUUCUGACGGUACCCAAAGAAUAAGCACCGGCUAACUUCGUG